UGUUAAAAGUUUCAUUUAUUUGUGCUAUUAAUAAUUGGCAUGCUUGAUGGAAUUACAGACAAUAACACGUGUGUCACGUGUAUGCCAGCGUUUUUAACAGUAAAAAUGGAUGGAAUUUUUAAUA
rfam:Gossypium arboreum cultivar AKA8401 contig_821_1, whole genome shotgun sequence.